rnacentral:rRNA from 1 species
UAUUGCACAAUGGGGGGAACCCUGAUGCAGCGACGCCGCGUGAGUGAAGAAGUAUUUCGGUAUGUAAAGCUCUAUCAGCAGGGAAGAAAAUGACGGUCCCUGACUAAGAAGCCCCGCCUAACUACGUUCCAGCACCCGCGGUAAUACGUAGGGGGCAAGCGUUAUCCGGAUUUACUGGGUGUAAAGGGAGCGUAGACGGCAGAGCAAGUCUGAAGUGAAAGCCCGCGGCCCAACUGCGGGACUGCUUUGGGAACUGCCCGGCUAGAGCGUUGGAGAGGUAAGCGGAAUUCCUAGUGUAGCGGUGAAAUGCGUAGAUAUUAGGAGGAACACCAGUGGCGAAGGCGGCUUACUGGACAGUAACUGACGUUGAGGCUCGAAAGCGUGGGGAGCAAACAGG